CCUACGGGAGGCAGCAGUGGGGAAUUUUGGACAAUGGGCGAAAGCCUGAUCCAGCAAUGCCGCGUGCAGGAUGAAGGCCUUCGGGUUGUAAACUGCUUUUGUACGGAACGAAACGGUCGCUUCUAAUAAAGGUGGCUAAUGACGGUACCGUAAGAAUAAGCACCGGCUAACUACGUGCCAGCAGCCGCGGUAAUACGUAGGGUGUGAGCGUUAAUCGGAAUUACUGGGCGUAAAGCGUGCGCAGGCGGUUAUAUAAGACAGAUGUGAAAUCCCCGGGCUCAACCUGGGACCUGCAUUUGUGACUGUAUAGCUAGAGUACGGUAGAGGGGGAUGGAAUUCCGCGUGUAGCAGUGAAAUGCGUAGAUAUGCGGAGGAACACCGAUGGCGAAGGCAAUCCCCUGGACCUGUACUGACGCUCAUGCACGAAAGCGUGGGGAGCAAACAGGAUUAGAUACCCUGGUAGUCCACGCCCUAAACGAUGUCAACUGGUUGUUGGGUCUUCACUGACUCAGUAACGAAGCUAACGCGUGAAGUUGACCGCCUGGGGAGUACGGCCGCAAGGUUGAAACUCAAAUGAAUUGACGG
rnacentral:rRNA from 1 species